GUAGUUCGACUCCGUGGCUACGAGGACGACGCUGGCGGCGUGCCUAACACAUGCAAGUCGAACGGACUGAUUCCCUUCGGGGAAGAAAGUUAGUGGAGGACGGGUGAGUAACGCGUGAGCAACCUGCCUUUCAGAGGGGAAUAACGUUUGGAAACAGACGCUAAUACCGCAUAACGCAUAGGUGUCGCAUGGCAUUUAUGCCAAAGGAGCAAUCCGCUGAAAGAUGGGCUCGCGUCCGAUUAGAUAGUUGGUGGGGUAACGGCCUACCAAGUCGACGAUCGGUAGCCGGACUGAGAGGUUGAACGGCCACAUUGGGACUGAGACACGGCCCAGACUCCUACGGGAGGCAGCAGUGGGGGAUAUUGCACAAUGGGCGCAAGCCUGAUGCAGCAACGCCGCGUGAGGGAAGACGGUUUUCGGAUUGUAAACCUCUGUCUUUGGUGACGAAGAAAUGACGGUAGCCGAGGAGGAAGCCACGGCUAACUACGUGCC
rnacentral:rRNA from 1 species